AUAUAUGAUUACUGUCUUUUUUUUCAUUAAAUUUAACUUACUUAAUAGGUGAAAACUCCUAUAAGCUAACAAGAAGGACGAGAAGACCCUUAGAAUUAUUAAGAUGUAAUGUUACACUAUACAUUACUCCUUUUUGUUGGGGCGACAUAUUUUCAUUAAACAUAAUUAUAUUUAAAUUUACACAAGACUAAUUUACUUAGUAUGAUUUAAUUACCUGAGGGAUAACAGCAUUAUAUUAUUUUAAGCUUGUGACCUCGAUGUUGGACUAGGUAAAAUAACAACCAGUAGUUGUUAUUACUUGUUCUGUUCGAACAUAU
rnacentral:rRNA from 1 species